GGGCACAUGGUGUAGUUGGAUUAUCACGCCUCCGUAGCAUGUGGGAGGUGUUGGGCUUGAUUCCCAAUGUGUCUA